AACGAACGCUGGCGGCAGGCUUAACACAUGCAAGUCGAGCGCCCCGCAAGGGGAGCGGCAGACGGGUGAGUAACGCGUGGGAAUCUACCCAUCUCUACGGAAUAACGCAUGGAAACGUGUGCUAAUACCGUAUACGUCCUUCGGGAGAAAGAUUUAUCGGAGAUGGAUGAGCCCGCGUUGGAUUAGCCAGUUGGUGGGGUAAAGGCCUACCAAGGCGACGAUCCAUAGCUGGUCUGAGAGGAUGAUCAGCCACACUGGGACUGAGACACGGCCCAGACUCCUACGGGAGGCAGCAGUGGGGAAUAUUGGACAAUGGGCGCAAGCCUGAUCCAGCCAUGCCGCGUGAGUGAUGAAGGCCCUAGGGUUGUAAAGCUCUUUCACCGGUGAAGAUGAUGACGGUAACCGGAGAAGAAGCCCCGGCUAACUUCGUGCCAGCCGCCGCCGUAAAAC
rnacentral:rRNA from 1 species